rnacentral:lncRNA from 1 species
GGGAGGCCGGGCAGGCGGCGCCGACCCCCCGCGCGUCGCACAUGGAGCGCUGGACCGAGGCGGCGGCCGCGGGCAGCGGCACUUCAGUGGCGCGCUCAGCCGGCCCCUCCCGCUCCUGUGCGCUGCUCCUCCGGGUCCGCGUGCGCGGUCACCAUGGCGUCCAGUGAGGAGGACGGCACCAACGGCGCCUCCGAGGCCAGCGACGAGAAGGAAGCCGCCGGCAAGCGGAGACGCCUAGGCUUACUGGCCACCGCCUGGCUCACCUUCUACAAUAUCGCCAUGACGGCCGGGUGGUUGGUUCUUGCUAUUGCUAUGGUACGCUUUUAUAUGGAAAAAGGAACACACAGAGGUUUAUAUAAAAGCAUUCAGAAGACACUUAAGUUUUUCCAAACAUUUGCUUUGCUUGAGGUAGUCCAUUGUCUGAUCGGAAUUGUACCCACUUCUGUGCUUGUGACUGGGGUCCAAGUGAGCUCAAGAAUCUUCAUGGUGUGGCUCAUUACUCACAGUAUAAAACCCAUACAAUUUGUUUAUCAUCUUAUAUCCCGUUGGAGUUGCUGGGGAACUUCUCACAAUAUACGCCGCCUUGCCUUACGUAAAGAAGUCAGGAAUGUUCUCAGUACGGCUUCCCAACAAGUACAAUGUUUCUUUUGACUACUACUAUUUUCUUCUCAUAACCAUGGCCUCCUAUAUACCGUUGUUUCCUCAGCUCUAUUUUCAUAUGUUACGUCAGAGAAGAAAGGUGCUCCACGGGGAGGUGAUCGCGGAGAAGGACGAUUAAGUGGUUCCCACACACAAGAGAUGAGAGCAAGAUUCAAUGAGAAGGCAACCAGUUCCUCUUCUGUAUCCAGUUUUCUUACUCAGCUGACUGGAGUCUGAGAUCAG